GGUCAUGAGUGCCAGUGCAAAACCCCGGUUUGCUGGCCGGCAACCCUCCGUCCGCGGCGGGGUGCCCCGGGUGAGGACCUGGUCACACGGGAAUGCCGCUGUGGCAAGCGCGGGCU
rnacentral:ncRNA from 2 species